rnacentral:rRNA from 1 species
UACCGCAUGACGUUCUGGGUUUAAAGACCUGGAAACCAAAGCCGGGGACCGCAAGGCCUGGCGCUUGAAGAGGAGCCCGCGUCCGAUUAGCUAGUUGGCGGGGUAAUGGCCCACCAAGGCGACGAUCGGUAGCCGGCCUGAGAGGGCGGACGGCCACACUGGAACUGAGACACGGUCCAGACUCCUACGGGAGGCAGCAGUGGGGAAUUGUUCACAAUGGGCGCAAGCCUGAUGACGCAACGCCGCGUGGGGGAUGAAGGUCUUCGGAUUGUAAACCCCUGUCGAAUGGGACGAAAGACCCGGGAGCUAAUCAUCCUGGGAGUGACGGUACCGUUAAAGGAAGCCACGGCUAACUCUGUGCCAGCAGCCGCGGUAAUACAGAGGUGGCAAGCGUUGUUCGGAAUUACUGGGCGUA